rnacentral:ncRNA from 2 species
AAGAAACACAGUAACUGACGACAAAAGUGGAAAAAACCACAAGGGAGCUGUGUUUAUAUAUGUCGGGUCGUCUGGGCAGGGAUA